GACGAACGCUGGCGGCGUGCCUAAUACAUGCAAGUAGAACGCACAGUUUAUACCGUAGCUUGCUACACCAUAGACUGUGAGUUGCGAACGGGUGAGUAACGCGUAGGUAACCUGCCUGGUAGCGGGGGAUAACUAUUGGAAACGAUAGCUAAUACCGCAUAAUAUUAAUUAUUGCAUGAUAAUUAAUUGAAAGGUGCAAUUGCACCACUACCAGAUGGACCUGCGUUGUAUUAGCUAGUAGGUGAGGUAACGGCUCACCUAGGCGACGAUACAUAGCCGACCUGAGAGGGUGAUCGGCCACACUGGGACUGAGACACGGCCCAGACUCCUACGGGAGGCAGCAGUAGGGAAUCUUCGGCAAUGGACGAAAGUCUGACCGAGCAACGCCGCGUGAGUGAAGAAGGUUUUCGGAUCGUAAAGCUCUGUUGUAAGAGAAGAACGGGUGUGAGAGUGGAAAGUUCAUACUGUGACGGUAUCUGACCAGAAAGGGACGGCUAACUACGUG
rnacentral:rRNA from 1 species